rnacentral:lncRNA from 1 species
GUUGACCAAGCUGUUUUCUGUGAAACAACCACAGGAAAAUACAGAAAAUAUUUUCUGUAAAACUUUUUACAUGUAAACAAACGGACCUGAAUCUCUAAACCUUUGCUCCCUAUCAUUAAAAAAUAUUCCAUAAAUAUGCCCAAAAACUAGUCUAUAAUGACAAAUUGUUCACUUGUAUAAAAAAAUUACAAAGAUUAUGGGCAAAUUACCAAGGGAGUGGUGUGAAUUCCGAGUCAUGUUACAUGUGAAAUGGCAUCUUUGGGCAUUUGACAGAGGAAAAGAGCAAAGAUUCUACAGCCAAAAAGGAAAUUUUGAAAGGGGGGGGGUUUAAAAGCUGCCAUAGGAGCUAAAAGGGAGCCCCCACCAAAUAUCCAAUUUCGGGCAUUUAAUCUGGCCAACGCCUAGAAAUGUGAGCCAAGUUUUGGUUUGAAGGUACAGUUUCACUUUAGUUUUUAGGACAUGCCCCUGCCUUGCCUAACAAAAAGACCUAUAAGACUUUACCAAGCCCAAUAAAGAAAAAGGCACAUGGAGCAGAGCGAGAUUCGGAUGUGUCAGUUUUCAUCCGGAAAAUACUCUACAAGUGUGCUCCCAUGUAUUGACGACAUCCCAAAAAAGACACCUCUCGCAUGCGACACGGACACCCAUCGUUUUCAUCUCUAAACUUUCUUCUUCUACAUUCUUUAACGCUUCAGACUCCCCAAUUUCACAACCUCAUCAAUGGUCCACCAACCUCCACACUGCUUCUCAUCUCAGCAAAGAAUAGAUGCCCAAAACCUGUUUUUCAUUUGCUUUUUAAUCUAACAUUUCUUAAAACAUUAAUGUAAACUAUCUUAUAAAUACUGAGUUUUCGCUGAAUAAUGGAAAGCC